rnacentral:rRNA from 1 species
GACGAACGCUGGCGGCGUGCCUAAUACAUGCAAGUAGAACGCUGAAGCUUGGUGCUUGCACCGAGCGGAUGAGUUGCGAACGGGUGAGUAACGCGUAGGUAACCUGCCUGGUAGCGGGGGAUAACUAUUGGAAACGAUAGCUAAUACCGCAUAAGAGUAGAUGUUGCAUGACAUUUGCUUAAAAGGUGCAAUUGCAUCACUACCAGAUGGACCUGCGUUGUAUUAGCUAGUUGGUGAGGUAACGGCUCACCAAGGCGACGAUACAUAGCCGACCUGAGAGGGUGAUCGGCCACACUGGGACUGAGACACGGCCCAGACUCCUACGGGAGGCAGCAGUAGGGAAUCUUCGGCAAUGGACGGAAGUCUGACCGAGCAACGCCGCGUGAGUGAAGAAGGUUUUCGGAUCGUAAAGCUCUGUUGUAAGAGAAGAACGAGUGUGAGAGUGGAAAGUUCACACUGUGACGGUAUCUUACCAGAAAGGGACGGCUAACUACGUGCCAGCAGCCGCGGUAAUACGUAGGUCCCGAGCGUUGUCCGGAUUUAUUGGGCGUAAAGCGAGCGCAGGCGGUUAGAUAAGUCUGAAGUUAAAGGCUGUGGCUUAACCAUAGUACGCUUUGGAAACUGUUUAACUUGAGUGCAAGAGGGGAGAGUGGAAUUCCAUGUGUAGCGGUGAAAUGCGUAGAUAUAUGGAGGAACACCGGUGGCGAAAGCGGCUCUCUGGCUUGCAACUGACGCUGAGGCUCGAAAGCGUGGGGAGCAAACAGG